rnacentral:lncRNA from 1 species
GAUUCUGCAAAGCUGGAUGCCUGAUGCUUUCUGUAGCAUCACCACCUCUACUGCAGGAAGCUCCUGAGUGUCCUAAGCUGCUAGCCAAGGUGGGCUCUGCAGUCAGAGAGAACAAAUCCAUCUGCAAAGUGUGCCAAGUCCUGCAGCCUCUCUGAGCCUCAGUUUCCUCAUUAUGGCAUAGCAGUGACAUUAUCUUCCUCCUGGGCACUGCUGAGGACACGCAGCCCAAACCGCCUCACCAUGGUAAGGGCUAACAAAUGGGUGUUGUUACUGGUUUGCCGGUAAACCUGCCUUUCUGGGCGCCCCUGGUACUCUGAAAAGUGUGGAAAGCAUGGGCCCCAUCCCUCUCUUUUCAGCUCUUUUUACCAAGAGACAAUUAGAAAAGAAGUUGAAAAUACCAAAUAACACCUAGCGAACAAUGGAAAUGCCGUGCCUGAGCCUUCCUAGCACUACGUUCCUGAACUUUGGGCUCUCUCUGCUCUGACC